rnacentral:misc_RNA from 1 species
GAUGUAAAUGAUUAAAUGAAAUUAUGCAUAUUUUAUUCAAUUUUUAAUACAAAAUUUUAUUUUUUUUCCAGAUGUCCUUAUUUGACAAUUCAUUAUCAUAUUGCUGUACCUAUAUGUCAAGGAAUCAUAACCUUUUUUGUUAUAGCUAAUUUCACACUAGCCACAUUUACAGAUCCAGGAAUCAUCCCUAAAGCAACUCUAGAUGAAGAUAAGGAUGAUGAUUUUCGUACGCCACUUUAUAAAAAUGUAGAAAUUAAUGGAAUAUCUGUACGAAUGAAAUGGUGCGUCACUUGUCAGUUUUACCGCCCACCUCGAUGUUCUCAUUGCAGUAUUUGUAACAAUUGUAUUGAAACAUUUGAUCAUCACUGUCCAUGGGUUAACAAUUGCAUUGGCCGUCGCAACUAUCGAUAUUUCUUUCUCUUCCUUGUAUUCUUGAGCAUUCACAUGAUUUCUAUUUUCAGUUUAUGUAUAAUUUAUAUUUUGAAUCAUCAAGAAAAGCUCCAUCACAGAGACACUAUUAUAACUAUAGUAAUAGUUGUAAUCAUCACACUGCUAUUUAUCCCAAUUUUGGGUCUAACAGGUUUUCAUAUUGUUCUUGUAUCAAGAGGCAGAACUACUAAUGAGCAAGUUACUGGAAAAUUUCGAGGAGGAUAUAAUCCAUUUUCACGUGGUUGUUGUGGAAAUGUUUGCCAUGCAUUAUGCGGUCCACAGUAUCCAAGGUAUAAAGGAAGAAAAAAGUCCUUGAAAAAUUUAUCAGUACCAGCUCCUUCUGUUUCAGCACGGAUGACAGAGAAUCAAGUUAAAAUUUACAUGGAUAACAGCAAUGUUUCCAGAAAUACAAGUGGAAAUUCAUAUAAUAAAAUGCUAGGGAUAACUGAUUCUGUUGAUGUGGACAUUACAAUGGAUUCAUUUGAAAUUACUCAAAGUCAGUCGUGUGAUUGUGAGCCUUCUCCUCCCAUUCCACGUCAUGGAUCAAAAACAAAUUUUUUUACUCCAGGAAUGCAAGAGACUGCGCUCUCUAGUCCCGCACGGGCAAAUCACGUUUUUCAGCAAGGUAAGCCGUGGUCUCCUUAUGGUAGCGCUGGCCCUCCGACGCCGAGAGCUCCCCGUGCCAUAUUAAGUGUGGAGGAUCGAGCGGUACAGUCGGCAUUACCUAGGACUCCCGAAAAUAGCCAGCCCAUUUGGCCAAAUAUUAAUAGUCCUCGUCUGCCUCGUACUCCUCCGAGAAGUUUGACCAGUCCAACUGUUAGCAGCAGUGCUAUCAUGGGUGUUUCUUAUAAUCAGUACUCGCCGGGAAGAAGAUCGAGUCCGGGAUCGCCAACGGCAGUUACUCCCGGGCAGUCUCCAGCGACAAGCAAACGCCACAAUAAUUCUGGUCUAGGAGGACUGUCGAGCAUUGGAAGAACAUAUGGUGGUCCAAUGCCAUAUUACACUCACAUAGGAAUGAGAGGUAGAACUAAUUCUCGAAGCAUGAGUCCUAAUCGUAAGUUUGCUUCAGAAAGUGAACUUGUCAGAGCAGCUGCAGACAAAGCAAAUGGGAAUUAUGAUUCUAGAGUGAUUGCAAAUCAGACUGCAGAUAAUAUUCAAGAAUUAGCAAACCGGACCGGAAUAUCCUGUCAUUGGGCAGAUCAUUCUUCUGGCAGUAGUCAUCACAGGGUUCGUCGCAAUUCACGUAGUGAACAGCACGGUUCUGGUUCUCACACGCCACCAUCUCAUUCUCUAGGAUAUCAUGCCAUCCACGGUCUGCCACCGGCAGGCAUUCACGGAGGACCUUACGGCCGCCGUCACAGUGGCAGUGCCUCUCCACAGUCCAAACGUAACAUGGUGGGACAUGCGACUCCACCAUUGGAUAUGUCACCCGCGGGUUCUCGUCCUCAUGCAAAAAGGCCAAUGUCUUUUGUAAAAGCCUUAGAAAUGUCAGACUCUAUGGAGAAGGCUGCGGCGGGAGCAGGAACUCCCAAAAUCGAACAUCGUCAGUCAAAAUCAUCAAACCCUCCUUCGUCAACCAUACAAGAAUUACAAGACGGCAAUGCCGACAGAAGGAGUUUAUACGAAAUGAAUUACGAAAUCUCAGUUUAGUGAAAUUUAUUAUAGUUCAUUGGAUCCACUAGAUGAAUUUUUACCUCAAGUGCCAGCAGUUUUAUGAAUAGAAUUAUUAUAUGAAAAUAUCUCCAGAUGUUUUACUUGAGGAGAAACAUUGCCACAGCAAGAAAAGAAAAAAAUUAUCACUCAACAGUAGGACUGGAGUGAAAAAUAAAUUACUAGGAUUUUAAAUGGAAUUUACACUUAGCAUUCAAAAUCAUAAAGAGACUAAAACUUUGUAACUUAAAUCAUAGAUAUGAUUAUCUUUGUUUGAUUUUGCAAACAAGUAUCAUAAUAAAACUCACCAAAUAUUUUGCAAUAUUUAACAAGUUAAUUUAUGAUAUCUAACUUCUUCCAUUUUCUUACCUCAAUUUUUUUAUGCUAGUUUCACAAAGUUAAUGUUUUCCAUUGAUUUUUUUUCCUCUACCAAUACAAAUGCAAAAAUUUCUUACUUAAAAUGCAGCAUUGAGGAGAGAUGUUAAAAGAAAUGUGUGUGUUUGUAUACAGUCAACUUGACCAUUCUCAUCACUAUAAAUAUGUUCUGUUUCAAAUUUUUACCUUGUUAAAAUUCUAUUUAUUAAUUGUAUUAUCAUCAUUGUUGUUAUUAUUUUGAUCCUGUGCUUAGUUGAAUUAAGCCGAAAGUCAUUAAAUUGACGCAGUUACAAAUUUCAGGUUAUGUAAAUAUAUUGAAACAUUGUUGAUCAUCCGAUCAUAAAUUUGUUACAUGUAGUAGUUAAGUCUCAGCAGAGUAUUUGAUGGGAUCAUAAUGAUUUUGAAUGUCUGAUGUGUGUUACUGUAAAAGUGGCAAGAAUAAACUAAAUUUUCAUAAUUUUCAUGAAAAGUUUUUUUAUAGACAUUACAAAAUUUGUAUAUUCUGUAUGCAAUUAUGACAGAAUGUUGCACAACAGUAUAAUCCAAAGGUUUUUGCAUAAUUAUUGACUUAAAACAUUUGUUUCUAUUCAGAGGCUAAAUUUCAUGAGAAAUUUCAUUUAUCUGUUUGACAAAACAUAAAAAAUUGGGAAGUUAUAAGGUAAAUGUAGAAUUAAUACAACUUUUAAUGGGAGUGUUAAUAGUUAUAUUAAAUCUAUGAUUACUAUAUUAAAAGUUUCUUGCCUUAUUAUUUAAUUAUGAGGAAUUUUUUCCAACCUCCACUAACGCAUGAAAAAAAAAAAUUGGAAGUAUGUGGGGCAGGGUCAGGGUGCACACCUAGUGAGUAGUAUAUUCCCACCACUUAGCAUUGUGCCAAGCUAUUUUAAACAUUUGCUACCUGCAGUAAACAAGCAAACACGAUGCCGCCAAUCCAGUCUCCCGCUAACUGUGAAGUACAAGCAGUAAUUUGAUUUCUACAGUUUGAAGGGCCGAAUGGAGGUGAAAUUCAUCAAAGCAUGUGUAAUGUGUAUGGUGAGAACCAUGAGCUACAGAUGUAUGCAGGAAAUUCAAACAAGGACGUGACAACAUUUACGACGAGGGUGGUCAAGGGAGGAAGUGUGUGAUGACCAAUAAUUUGGUGGACAAAGUGGAUCAGUUGGUGCGAGACAGGCAUCAUUUCACAAUUUCUGAGCUCAGUGAGGAGUUUCCUCAAAUUUCAACAUCCACACUGUAUAUCGCUGACUGACAGUAUUAAAAGUUAGCCGAAUAGCUUGGUGGCAAUGUUCUUCAACAUGGGUAUACAAAAGCUGGUGUCACGGUAUGAUGUCUGCCCGAAUCGACAAGCCAAUUAUGUGGAAAAUAGGUGACGACUGUAACUACCUUCUACAAAUAAAGUGGUUUUGUUCUUCAUUCGGGUUUUCUUAUUCUGGGUCAGUGGAGGUUGAAAAAACCCUCGUACAAAAAGUACUUAGUUACUUAAGACUAAUGAACAGGCUUAACUAAAUUAGUUCAGUAAAAAAAACCUUAUGAAUAGACCUUGUGUCAUAAGAAUAGAAAAUUACCACAGUAUAAAGAAGACACAAUGACUAUUCACAAGGUUUUUACUGGACUUGUUUAGUAUUCUUAGGUUACUGUCCUAGUGAUAAUUUAGAAUUCCUAUUAAGAUGUGUGUAAUAAUUUGUAACAGUUGUACUUAUAUUGUAUUGUUGGCAAUUGUCACCAUAGACUGUUUUUUGUAUGUCAUCUAAUUGAUAAGGGCCCGUAAGGCCAAAAUGCAUUUUGGAUAAAUUAAUAAGUUGGCUGGGUGUGUAAUAAGCUUGUUCAUUAGUCAUAAGUAACUAAGUAGUUAGUGUAACUAUGAUUAAUACAUUAUACACACAUACAGUAAUAGUAGUGCAUUUGAAAA